AUUGAACGCUGGCGGCAGGCCUAACACAUGCAAGUCGAACGAGUGGCGGACGGGUGAGUAAUGUCUGGGAAACUGCCCGAUGGAGGGGGAUAACUACUGGAAACGGUAGCUAAUACCGCAUACCAUCGGAUGUGCCCAGAUGGGAUUAGCUAGUAGGUGGGGUAACGGCUCACCUAGGCGACGAUCCCUAGCUGGUCUGAGAGGAUGACCGGCCAACCUGGAAUGGAGACACGGACCAGACUCCUACGUGAGGCAGCAGUGGGGAAUAUUGCACAAUGGGCGAAAGCCUGAUGCAGCCAUGCCGAGGGUAUGAAGAAGGCCUGAGGGUUGUAAAGUACUUUCAGCGAGGAGGCGUUACCCGCAGAAGAAGCACCGGCUAACUCCGUGCCAGCCGCCGCGGUAAUAC
rnacentral:rRNA from 1 species